rnacentral:tRNA from 1 species
GUGGCUGUGGCUCAGUGGUAGAGUGCUUGCCUGGCAUGUGUGAAGCACUGGGUUCGAUCCUCAGCACCACA